GCUUCGUCUAUCGGUAUAUAGUUUGCCUGGAGUAAGCCGGUACUGUCUUUAUAGUCUCGCAAGGAGCUUGAAAAACUUGAGAAUGGAAAAAUCGAGCCGGCAGCGAAAGGAACUUUUUCAGAAUGGACCCUACAUAUACAAUGAAGAGUGAUAAUCUUCGCCUUACAAUUAAAGGAUAUUUCUUGAGACGAUACUAACGGAAAUAUCUCUUAAUUGUUUGGUUAAGGCUAUCAGGUCGUCAGCUCGGAUCACAUGGACGUGCACAGCGCCAUAGCGCCCCUCUGGUGGCUUGGAUAAAUGUAUUUCCUUGGCGCGAGGCAAGUGUAUCUGGGCAAAUUCCAACCGAAUGUAAUCAUCCCUAUGCCCUACUUACUCCGAAGGGCAGAGCACUUGAGUGCCCUUCAAGGGAGAAAAAAAUGCUAUUUGGAAAUCACUCUCUGUCUUCCUCAAGCAAGACGAAAAGCAACAUCCACUAUACAACAUGCCCACUCCAAAAAAUGCCCCCUUGGAUCACAAAGCGAUUCUAUUGGUUAAAGAACUUUUAAAAUCCUAUGCAAUCUCUAUAUGAUUCAUGUUGUCUGAACUAUGUAACUAUGACAAAGAAUAACUUUUAAAUUAUAUGCCACACCUAUAGAGCGCAAUAGAGCCUGCUCACUUUCCACAAGUAUUUUCCCACAAUGUUUGCAUAGGCUUAAGAGUUGUAAGCUAGGAACCAAAGCAACCAGCUCUGAUGAGAAUCACAACAUUAAAAACUUUAUUUUGAGGCAAAACAUUUUUUUUUAAAUCAGAGAAAAAGACAAAGGUUCAAGACUGCGUACUUCUUUCACGAGUGCACAAACUACAAUCCCUUUAUGCAUUUCCAAUGAUGGAAUUAUAUACAAAAAAUAAUGGAAAUAAAUAAAACUAUUGAUUUUAGUUUGUUAAUUAUUAGUCUAGAAACGAUAUAAGUUUAUUGCAAAAUAUUCUGAUAUGUACAAAUAUAUAAGUAGUUUGAGGGUGAAGGGAGACCGACUUAGUUGAGUCAUUCACAGUGUGUCAUGCGGUCGCUCAUGGGCAUGUUUUGUGGGCUAUGUUGGACUCUGAUUUGUGAAGCUUUCUCAGCUGGACCAGGGGUAAUGUAGUUGUACAUAAAUGAAGUUGAAAUAACUGACUGAUGGCUUCAACGGAAGCAUAUACCAUCGAAUAACCACAAAGCUCAAGGUAGGUCUGUUCUGAAAGGUUUAUACAGUGCAUCCAGAAAGUAUUAACAGUGC